rnacentral:rRNA from 1 species
AACGCGAAGAACCUUACCAGGGUUUGACAUGUCAAGAACUUCUCAGAAAUGGGAGGGUGCCCUAACGGGAGCUUGAGCACAGGUGGUGCAUGGCUGUCGUCAGCUCGUGCCGUGAGGUGUAUAGUUAAGUCUCAUAACGAGCGCAACCCUCGUCUUUAGUUGCCAUUUGGUUCUCUAAAGAGACUGCCAGUGUAAGNUGGAGGAAGGUGAGGAUGACGUCAAGUCAGCAUGCCCCUUACANCCUGGGCUUCACACGUAAUACAAUGGUUGGGACAAUCGGAAGCGAUCUCGUGAGGGNNAGCGGAUCNGUUAAACCCANCCUCAGUUCGGAUUGUAGGCUGCAACUCGCCUNCANGAAGCCGG